GCCGAGGUGGCGGAAAUGGCAGACGCGCUAGGUUGAGGGCCUAGUGAGGGCUUACCUCGUGGGGGUUCAAGUCCCCCCCUCGGCACCA
rnacentral:tRNA from 2 species